rnacentral:lncRNA from 1 species
UGGCCUUCCAGUACUUAAAGUGAGUCAGGAGGGAGACUGAACUUUUUACAUGGGCAAAUAGUGACAGGAAAAGGGAGGAUGAUUUGAGAGUAAAAGUGGCUAGAUUUAGAUUAGAUAAUGGAAUGGAUGAAUUCACUAUGAAGGUGUGAGGUACUGGAAUAGGGUGCCCAGACAAUCUGGGGAAGCCAUGUUCCUAGAGGCUUUCAAGGCCAGGAUGUACGGGGGCCCUAUGCAACCUGAUGUAGUGGGUGGCAUAUUUGCUCACAGCAAGGGGGGUUGGAACUAGAUAGUCUUUAUGGUUCCUUCCAAUCCAAGCUACACUAUGAUUGAUCCUAUGAUCACAUAACUAACAUCUCAACACUCUGACGUUUGCAAUGUUCUUAGAGGGCCUGCAGAUAAUUAUCACCCUUCUGCCUCUCUUCAUGCUCUGUAUACGUAUAUUUAAGUGGCUCACCUGUCUUUAGCCUAAUUCAAGUUAAAAAUUCUUUCAGUCUUACACAGUAGGUAUCCUCCCACUCCUUUACUCUUCCUCAGUGUUACCCAUUUCAAUUCACUGCCUGUGCUGUAGCUGCCAGCUGUAGUUCUCUUAGCUUUCAAGUACUUGAUAGCUAUUGAUAAAUGUAAGUGACAAAGAUUUAAGUUCUUAAGAAUUUUUGCUUAUUCUUCACAGUGGCUGUAAAUAGAGAGAAUUUUCCUACUUUUUUUUUUCUCCAAUUCACUCCUCAUGAUUGCAAUACCACCAAAGUUCUCUGCAAUGGGACUUUUUUUUCUAGGAAUUUUCAGUCUAUAGUUCCAAGAUUGUUUAAUAACAGUUCUUUGAAAAUUCUGUUUCUAAUCUUAUAGACUGAGCUUCUAUGAGUUUUAGCAUAUGAGCUGUACAGAUGUUAGAAGUUACUAUUCCUUUAUGUCUUAUUUUGAUUACUAAUAUAUUUAGCUUUUUUAAUUUUUUUUUACAUGUAUACUCUUUAUACUCUCUGUGUUUUGAAUGUUUUCAUUCAGUCCUCUUUAUUCUGACAAGUUCAAUUUCAAUUCUGUUUGGAGUUCCUUUGACUUUCAGCCAUCAUAUUCAUGUUCAUAUUCUUGUGCCAAAGGCUAAAAAACACUUCAAGUUAGAAAAUUUAAACAGUAACCCAAAUCUAUUAGAGAAAGUUUUACAUUUUUAAGUCUUUUGAGGAGGCUUUUUUAAGGAUGAAUUUGAAAUAUGUAUCAGAUUGAGUUUUUAAAGUACUUCAACACUUGCAAUAUCAAAUCCCAUUGUCUUGCAAUUAGACUGAGUUGCUGAAGUGCCUGAAGCAAAUUUAAAAAUGCAACACAAACUCCCGAGUCACUUAGUGAAUAUCUGUGCUGCAGAUGAACUAUUCAGGAACCAAAAGCUGCAUGGAGAUCCAGUGAGACUCAUUUACUCCUCAUCUGUUAAACUAGCUUUUGUAGGUGUGAUGCUGCGCUCCUUGUCCCAUCUCCACCCAGCCUAGUGAUUAUGCCCAAGGCCUAGUGCAUACAAUGAGGUGCAAAGGACUUUAUCCUUGGGACUAAUAACAAUAAAGAUUUCACUAUCGGGGUCAGACACCUGAUAACAGACACCUGAUUCAACAGAACCAAUCUGAAGUUCUAUGAGUCGAUCAUUCUACUCCAUAAAUAGCAAGCAGCCUAAGAUCCCAUUGGAGAGUUCCUGUUGCAAGAAGCAGGCUGCACACCAGAACCUCCCCUUGAGUAGGGGUGCUUCACAAGGUGCGCAGAGAUUCUCCCAAGAUGGGGGUGAUGCCUUGUCGGCACAUCCUCAGUAAGUGAUUUAUUGUUUUUGAACUGUACUAGCUUCAAUAAGAUUUUAUCUUAGAUUCAUUAUACACCCCCUACCCUCUAUGUAGCAAAUAGUCAAAGAUAUCUGUCCAUUUUGAAUCUUGUUAAAUUGCUGCUAUCACUGUUCAAAUUACCAUCUUAUAUUUAUUUAUAUCAAUAAAUCGCUUUCUGCCU